rnacentral:lncRNA from 1 species
CCGAUUUCAACCCUGAAUAUACUGCAAAACUUGAAUAUCUUAGUGCAUGAAUGGAAUUCCAUGUUAACAUGUGUUGUAAUAUGGCCAAAAUUCAUGCAAAAGUAGCUGCAUAAAUGCAUGUAAAUUUUCCUUGUUUUGGGAAAGUGGUCAUACACAUUGUGCGACAAUAGAUAUGGUAAAUACUGUUGAAAGAAGCUACUACCAUUUCGGUAUUUGCAUGUGUUCAUAAAUUUAUUUAAUUUGUCUGACAGAAAGGUUGUGGUCCAGUACAUUGAAAAAGUGGAGAAAGUCUAGAGCAAGAGCAUUGGGGUAACAAAAGCUUGAACCUACAAGAUUGGAUACAUGAUGGAAGUCUUUUGAAUGGGAAGGAAUGAUCUUGCCAAGAACUGAAUUAUUAGUGGCUUUGGAUAUCCAAUUUUAAGGCUAUAAAAAGCAGUUUAGAGGUUGGGUAGACGCAACAUAAUCAUCCCUAUUCAGAAGAUUUCAUGGAUUGCAGUUUUAUAUUUGAACUGCUUCAUUUAAGGAAAUGCUGACAAAUGACUGACAGAUUCAGAGUAAUAAGCAUUCAUGAUGGUCAAAACUUGAUGAAUAAUUAACCCAUUCACACCGGGGCUAUUCCGGCUCUAAAUGGUCUGAAUGCCAGGGUUUUCAAACGCAUAAGCCUAACGCCUUGGGAUUCGCGGGCGCACUAACCACAAGCCUGGGCUGUCCCUCACUCGCCUGCCGUGCAGGUCUUGACUAAAUAUCUCAUCACCCGCGUCUGACCCAAAAACCACAACGUGAUGGCAUGUCAUCCAGCGCGAAUGGGUUAAGAAGGCUAUGGUACCAGUUUUUGCUGAUAAUGGCAAAAUGCAAAGUUGGGAUCCAUGUGUCUGCAUGAGUUGUCUGCAGUAUGCUUUUAUUUUGAAGUCGUAUGACAAAUUUCAAGUAGUAUAUCGCAAUGAGUUAAGCUAUGCACUUUUGCUGUGGCUGUGUAUUGAUUUCAAAGAUUUUGGAUUCUGAAAUGACAUCGAAUUGCCUGCUGCAAAUUACUUGGCUGCUUUUAGGACAAAUCAGAUUAGUUUCCAAGCUGUCUCCCCCUGGUCUAUGUGUUAACCACUGGAGAUUUGUGAAAUCAACAUGCAGUUGGAAAUGAGCUUGCCUUUCAUGGAUAACUAUUUUAAAGAUUAUUGCUUCUCCAUGAUUUGUAGAAUUCUUCCAAAACCUCAGGUAAGAUGUUUUGAUUAUAGGUUACCAUCUUUUUUUGAAAAUUGCAUUGUACCUUUACCUAAUUGAUAUCCCAAGCAUAAAACAUUGAGUUUCUGAUAAGUAUGGAAUAGUCUUCAUCUUCACUACCCCACUGAAAGUUAAACCACCACAGGCAGUAAUUAUUGACAAAUGCAUUUGUUCCUUGCCAUAUGAUGGCUGUUUGUGUUUUUUGCUUAUCAAUUUGCUGUAGGUCUUUUUUUUUUUUCUUCUUCUUCCAAACAUACCACAGGUUUUGACAAUUUGUAUUUUGAACUAAUUUGAAUAUGGUCUGAACUUUAUAGUUAAAAAAUAAAUAGCAUCUAGAAGUUGAUACAUUAUCUAAAUGUUGAUGUAAGUACUACCAAAAAUUGCAUUUUAAAAAUUCUCGACCCUUAAACCUCCUUUUUCUGCAUGCUUGCUUUCUUGCUGAUUAAUACACAUGUUUGAUAUUGCAGUUAUUGGUAAUAUAAAUAACUAUUGUAGGGGAAUGCUACAUAAACAACCAUCAGUUUGCGGUCAUGCAGGAGAACUGCCUGUUAGCCAGUAAAUAUCAAUUAAAUUUUUUAAAUAUAGAUGAGGCAUGUAUAAGAUGGCUAGAUUCAAGCUUUUUUAUGGGUAGGUUAAGAGACCUUGACUUUGUACAGGUAGUGUAAACAUGAAUGUUGGUGAAAGCUGGAUAAAAAGUCGGCUGGAUGUAUGUAUGUAUGUAUGUAUAGAUAAUAGCAUAUCUCCAACUUCAGUGAAACAAUAGUUAUGUAUAAUAGCUUCUCCCAAUGGGGGAGAAUAAAAUUAGUGAAAUAGCCUCAAAGAAUAGUGAAGAGUAUACAUGAUAUUAACCCAUUCCUGACGGGCCUGUGUAAUAUUGCAUCGGGAACGUCACACUAGUGUGUCGCACAGUUAUCAUAGGGUAAAGGGCAAAUGGUAAGUGAAAAUACCAAGUGUCAAGAAUAAUUGAUUUUCAAAGUUUUUCUUUGAUUUUCUCUCUCUCUCUCUCUCUCUCU